rnacentral:rRNA from 1 species
UGAUUAAACCCUGAUGCAGCUAUACCGUGUGUGUGAAGAAGGCCUUAGGGUUGUAAAGCACUUUCAAUGGGGAAGAAUUUAAUAUUGCUAAUAUCGAUAUUAAUUGACGUUACCUAUAUAAGAAGCACCGGCUAACUCCGUGCCAGCAGCCGCGGUAAUACGGAGGGUGCAAGCGUUAAUCGGAAUUACUGGGCGUAAAGAGUACGUAGGUGGUUUGUUAAGUCAGAUGUGAAAUCCCUGAGCUUAACUUAGGAACUGCAUUUGAAACUAAUAAACUAGAGUUUCGUAGAGGGGGGUAGAAUUCCAGGUGUAGCGGUGAAAUGCGUAGAGAUCUGGAGGAAUACCAGUGGCGAAGGCGACCCCCUGGACGGAAACUGACACUCAGGUACGAAAGCAUGGGGAGCAAACAGGAUUAGAUACCCUGGUAGUCCAUGCCGUAAACGAUGUCGAUUUGAA